GUGAUUUUCGCUACAAUUUAUUUUGGACCGAUUUGAAUUUUGUUUUCAGUUUUCGUCAUACGCGUAGUCAAGUAAAUAUCCGGGUAGGUAUUAUUUAUUCCAAUACUGCCUAACAUUUUAAAGUUGAUUUCGUAUUUUCGUCAAUUUGAGGCUUGCCGCUUUAACACCGUAACUUUUUUUGCCGUAUUGGAGUUGAGAAAAAAAAUAACACCGAUUUCAAGUAUUAUUCCUUUCAACAUCUGCUUCGAAUUUGCUUAACGAUUUGACAUUUUCGUAGCCGCAACGAUUAAUUUGAUUUAAAACAUUUAAUUGUGUCUAUUGUCAGAGACAACAGACGGAUACCAUUAAAAAA